rnacentral:lncRNA from 1 species
AAGGCAUGAAAUAAUUGAAAAUGAAGACACAAGAAAGUUGGCAAAGGAACCAAAGAAAUCAAGCAUUCAUCAGCCUGCUCGCUAGGCGAGGGCUGUGGCGAAGCACUCGCUAGGCGAGCAGCCAGCGAAAAGCUCCAGUAAAAUAUCAAUAAAUUCGUUAGGCGAGCUGCUAGCGAAGGUGGUAGCGAGUUCGUUCAGUUUUGGUGAAAAGCGCAGCCAGCACUCACUCGCUAGGCGAGGC